GUCACGCCGUAAACGUUGGGCACUAGGUGUGGGUUCCAACCAACGGAAUCCGUGCCGCAGCUAACGCAUUAAGUGCCCCGCCUGGGGAGUACGGCCGCAAGGCUAAAACUCAAAGGAAUUGACGGGGGCCCGCACAAGCGGCGGAGCAUGUUGCUUAAUUCGAGGCAACGCGAAGAACCUUACCUGGGUUUGACAUUCUGGGAAAAGCCACAGAGAUGUGGUGUCCGAAAGGGUCCAGAACAGGUGGUGCAUGGCUGUCGU
rnacentral:rRNA from 1 species